rnacentral:rRNA from 1 species
CCUACGGGUGGCAGCAGUGGGGAAUAUUGGACAAUGGGCGAAAGCCUGAUCCAGCCAUGCCGCGUGUGUGAAGAAGGUCUUCGGAUCGUAAAACUCUGUUAUUAGGGAAGAACAAAUGUGUAAGUAACUAUGCACGUCUUGACGGUACCUAAUCAGAAAGCCACGGCUAACUACGUGCCAGCAGCCGCGGUAAUACGUAGGUGGCAAGCGUUAUCCGGAAUUAUUGGGCGUAAAGCGCGCGUAGGCGGUUUUUUAAGUCUGAUGUGAAAGCCCACGGCUCAACCGUGGAGGGUCAUUGGAAACUGGAAAACUUGAGUGCAGAAGAGGAAAGUGGAAUUCCAUGUGUAGCGGUGAAAUGCGCAGAGAUAUGGAGGAACACCAGUGGCGAAGGCGACUUUCUGGUCUGUAACUGACGCUGAUGUGCGAAAGCGUGGGGAUCAAACAGGAUUAGAUACCCCUGUAGUC